ACCUACGGGGGGCAGCAGUUUCGAAUCAUUCACAAUGGGCGAAAGCCUGAUGGUGCGACGCCGCGUGAGGGAUGAAGGCCUUCGGGUUGUAAACCUCUGUCACCGGGGAAGAAACGCUUCAAGUUAAUAGCUUGAAGCCUGACUUAACCCGGAGAGGAAGCAGUGGCUAACUCUGUGCCAGCAGCCGCGGUAAUACAGAGACUGCAAGCGUUAUUCGGAUUCACUGGGCGUAAAGGGUGCGCAGGCGGCCGUGUGUGUGAGGCGUGAAAGCCUGGAGCUUAACUCCAGAAUUGCACCUCAAACUACAUGGCUAGAGCAUUGGAGAGGGUAGCAGAAUUCAUGGUGUAGCAGUGAAAUGCGUAGAUAUCAUGAGGAAUACCAGAGGCGAAGGCGGCUACCUGGACAAUUGCUGACGCUCAGGCACGAAAGCGUGGGGAGCAAAAGGGAUUAGAUACCCGGGUAGUCCG
rnacentral:rRNA from 1 species